CUAUAAAUGACCCAUAACUGAUAUAUCAACCAUAUGAAAUAUGUCUAUUAAAUAAUUAUGUAUCUUCUAAAUCUAGUCUAGUUUCCUUGCCGUGUGGAAUCGAAAUUAAGAAUUAUAUCUUCCAAUGAUAAAAACAUUAUAAACGUAAAAGUUCUGCAAUGAUUUUCAACAGACCGCAGAAUUAUUUUCCCGUGUAGCUGCCAUUGGUUUUGUUUGUAAAAAUAAACAACUGGUUCGGUGAAACCAGAAUCACUUUUGUGCUUUUUCCAAUUAUAUCUUGUACUGUAAAUCAAGGUUCUCAACAGUUGUCUUGGCGGAAAAAUGUGGAAGCAAAGUCCGCUUAGCUGCAAAACAAUUUUAUUGAGGCGUGAUAUUGGUCAGAAUAAUAUUCUUUUGGAUGCAGCUUCCCGGACGCCCAAACAAAGACAAACUUACUAUCUUGCCCAUACAUUUUAUUUAAGGAAAACGAAACAUAUAUCGUACAAAUAAAU